rnacentral:rRNA from 1 species
AUUGAACGCUGGCGGCAGGCUUAACACAUGCAAGUCGAGCGGAGCGGCGGACGGGUGAGUAAUUCCUAGGAAUCUGCCUGGUCGUGCGGGUUAACGUCCGCAAAGGGGCGCUAAUACCGCACACUAUCAGAUGAGCCUAGGUCGGAUUAGCUCGUUGGUGGGGUAAAGGCCUACCAAGGCGACGAUCCGUAUCUGGUCUGAGAGGAUGAUCAGUCACACUGGAACUGAGACACGGUCCAGACUCCUACGGGAGGCAGCAGUGGGGAAUAUUGGACAAUGGGCGAAAGCCUGAUCCAGCCAGGCCGCGUGUGUGAAGAAGGUCUUCGGAUGGUAAAGCACUUUAAGUUGGGAGGCGUUACCAACAGAAUAAUCACCGGCUAACUUCGUGCCAGCCGCCGCGGGAAUAC